rnacentral:rRNA from 1 species
GACGAACGCUGGCGGCGUGCUUAACACAUGCAAGUCGAACGGAAAGGCCCUGCUUUUGUGGGGUGCUCGAGUGGCGAACGGGGGAGUAACACGUGAGUAACCUGCCCUUGACUUUGGGAUAACUUCAGGAAACUGGGGCUAAUACCGGAUAGGAGCUCCUGCUGCAUGGGGGGGGUUGGAAAGUUUCGGCUGUUGGGGAUGGACUCGCGGCUUAUCAGCUUGUUGGUGGGGUAGUGGCUUACCAAGGCUUUGACGGGUAGCCGGCCUGAGAGGGUGACCGGCCACAUUGGGACUGAGAUACGGCCCAGACUCCUACGGGAGGCAGCAGUGGGGAAUAUUGCACAAUGGGCGGAAGCCUGAUGCAGCAACGCCGCGUGCGGGAUGACGGCCUUCGGGUUGUAAACCGCUUUCGCCUGUGACGAAGCGUGAGUGACGGUAAUGGGUAAAGAAGCACCGGCUAACUACGUG